CAAUGGUGUUAUAAGUACCGCGCGCUAACCGAUUGCGCCACUGGAGCUCCCAAAAACAUCUCUUAAUGUUGAUGCUGCCAGGGGCUACUUGAAUAAGUAAAUCAGGCUUGGGGCUGGAGUCUAUGUCCACUCUGGUAUCAGGAGUCACUGCUGUGCCUUCAUGGGGUUUCAUAAGACCAGUAUGCCUACUAAUGGAAGACUGAGGUUCCUGAAGAGAAGCCCCUGUCCACUGGGAAUCAGCACUUGUUGUCUUUUUAGGGGCGCUUAGCAUAACCUAGGUUCACUUGGGAAGAGGGACCCUCAAUUGAAGAGCUGCUUUGAUCAGGAUGCUAUGGCCAUGUCUGGGAGAGAUUGUUCAGACUGAUGAAUGACAUGAGCGGGGCCAACUCUAGGCAGGUGGACCUGGCCUUUAUAAGAAAGCUAUGAGCCACUUAGGGAUCUGGUAAGUACUGUCUCCUUAGUUUCUGCUUCAGUCCCCGCCCUGAAUUCCUUCAGUCAUGGACCGUAACCUGGAAGCAUAAGCCAAGUAGAUCUCUUCUUCCUGCAUCCAGUCAGAGUAGAAGAGCAAAAUACAGCGCUCAUCUUCUACGGGUAGACAGCAAGCAGGAUGCUCACUCCAUGGCAGCCCUGGAACAAGGCCACACUGUUGGGUCCUUGCUCACUUCCUCCCAACCACCAUGCCAGGGGAGUCCCCUACAUGCUGGUGGUCCCCUGCAGUAGUUCAUGUCCCCAGCAGACACAGAGGGAACACUAAGCUUUUCUUGGAUAGCUCCGCUGCCCACAGAGCUCUCUUUUCUCAUCUUCCUUCCUACCUCUCUGCUUUCUAGCCUCUGACCAGCAACCUGAGCAAGGAUCAUACUGCCUAAGCCUUUCCCAUGUGAAUGUUGGUGCUCCUUCCAGAGAGGAUUUCCAGUGAUACUGAACCCCCUCCCAGGGUCACCCCUUAACUGGAAUAUGGAGUGGCCGGCUGACUUUUGGGUUGAUAUUUACAUAUGCAGAGAUGCUGCCCUGUUAAGAACCUGUGUAAAUGCUUUCACUGGAGAAAGACAGUCACCUUGCGACAGAGUUCCACAAGCACUCAGAAUUUCCUGCUUCAGAACCUCGUAAGCUGACAAGUUCGAGAGACGGUCUCUAUGCGUUGGUAGUGAGAGAUGAAAGAGAUGCUUCAUCUCUACGUUCACACUGAAACCACCUCACAGGUUUGCCUGUCUGGAAAAGCCUCUGAAAGAAGUGAGGAGGGGCUAGCCUGGUUUUGCACAUUUACCAUUUGGUUAUUUUUGUUUGUUUGUUUGGUUGGUUUGGUUUUUGCUUUUGUUUAUUCAAGACAAGGUCUCUCUGUGUAGCCCUGGCUGUCCUGGAACUCACUCUGUAGACCAAGCUGGCCUUGAAUUCACAGAAUUCUGCCUGCCUCUGCCUCCCAAGUGCUGGGAUUAAAAGUGUACACCCCCACAUCCUGGCUUGUUGGUUGUUUUUUUGGUACCUUCCUUCCCGGGAAUCAGUGUCUUCAUCUGGUACCAUUUUCCCCCAUCUGAGGAGGUCUUCUGUAUCUAGUACAAUCUGCCCUCAGGCCAUAAUACCCGAGACAUCUUUAUCCUUUUCCAGCUUUUUGAAGAGUACUUGUAUUUGGUACCAUGUGAGGUUGGCAGGUUUUUAAGUUUAGUAUUUUAAAAAUGUCAAAGAGCUGGUGAGAUGGCUCAGUGGGUAAAGGCAUACGCUGCUGAGCCUGACAACCUGAGUUUGAGCCCCGAGUAGAGCGAGAGAACCGAUUCCUGAAAGUUUUCUCUGACCUCCACAUGCACACCAUGGCUCACACAUGCACAUUUGUCACGCAUACCUACACAUGCUAACUAACUAGCCAACCAAAUAAGUAAAGUAAUAAACUCAAUUUCCACCUUGCUUCAGAUCUUUGGCUUCUGCUAAGAAGCCAGCUCCCCCGAUCCCAACCCCGGCCAUCAUGCCUGUGAAGGUGAUGUCCGUGUUUUCUGCCUUUCUCCUUCUUUGCUGCCUUUCAGUAGCUCACCUGCCUGUGAUCUUUGAAUGUAUCUCACUCAGAUU
rnacentral:lncRNA from 1 species